rnacentral:rRNA from 1 species
AUACGGAGGGGGCUAGCGUUGUUCGGAAUUACUGGGCGUAAAGCGCACGUAGGCGGUUUAUCAAGUUAGGCGUGAAAGCCCUGGGCUCAACCCAGGAACUGCGUUUAAUACUGAUAAGCUAGAGACCGGGAGAGGGUGGCGGAAUUCCCAGUGUAGAGGUGAAAUUCGUAGAUAUUGGGAAGAACACCGGUUGCGAAGGCGGCCACCUGGACCGGAACUGACGCUGAGGUGCGAAAGCGUGGGGAGCAAACAGGAUUAGAUACCCCAGUAGUCC